rnacentral:lncRNA from 1 species
ACACAAGGAAUAAAAGGGACGAAUGAAAUUAAGAAGAAAAUUUAAGAUACUUUGUUAAGAAGGACUCUUGCUUCUUAACGCCAAAAUUAAAUGGGACGUUACAAUUAUUUAUGCAUGGGAUAUUGGUGUGGAGAAGGCUGAUUCCACAUGGAACUCUUCCAUAAAAAUCAAAUAAACCACCUAUUAAUUAGAUGGUUCAAACCCAAUCACAUUAGGUCAAGAC